GGGUGAUUAGUUUAGUGGCUAAAACAACUUGCUUACACCAAGUAGAAGUCGGGUCGGAACCGGCAUCACCCA
rnacentral:tRNA from 1 species